UACGGAGGGGACUAGCGUUGUUCGGAAUUACUGGGCGUAAAGCGCACGUAGGCGGAUUUGUAAGUCAGGGGUGAAAUCCCGGGGCUCAACCCCGGAACUGCCUUUGAUACUGCGAAUCUCGAGUCCGGAAGAGGUGAGUGGAAUUCCUAGUGUAGAGGUGAAAUUCGUAGAUAUUAGGAAGAACACCGGUGGCGAAGGCGGCGACCUGGUCCGAUACUGACGCUGAGGCGCGAAAGCGUGGGGAGCAAACAGG
rnacentral:rRNA from 1 species